rnacentral:tRNA from 1 species
GCCGGGGUGGCUGAGUUCGGCUUAAAGCGCUGGACUUAAGAUCCAGAUGAGAGUACCCGCUCUCACGCGGGUUCAAAUCAUCUCACGGGUGAAAGUCCCGUCCCCGGCG